rnacentral:rRNA from 1 species
UACGGAGGGGGCUAGCGUUGUUCGGAAUUACUGGGCGUAAAGCGCGCGUAGGCGGAUCUGCAAGUCGGGGGUGAAAUCCCGAGGCUCAACCUCGGAACUGCCUUCGAUACUGCGGGUCUCGAGUCCGGGAGAGGUGAGUGGAAUUCCUAGUGUAGAGGUGAAAUUCGUAGAUAUUAGGAAGAACACCAGUGGCGACGGCGGCUCACUGGCCCGGUACUGACGCUGAGGCGCGAAAGCGUGGGGAGCAAACAGG